rnacentral:rRNA from 1 species
GACGAACGCUGGCGGCGUGCCUAAUACAUGCAAGUUGAGCGCUGAAGGUUGGUACUUGUACCAACUGGAUGAGCAGCGAACGGGUGAGUAACGCGUGGGUAAUCUGCCUUUGAGCGGGGGACAACAUUUGGAAACGAAUGCUAAUACCGCAUAAAAACUUUAAACACAAGUUUUAAGUUUGAAAGAUGCAAUUGCAUCACUCAAAGAUGAUCCCGCGUUGUAUUAGCUAGUUGGUGAGGUAAAGGCUCACCAAGGCGAUGAUACAUAGCCGACCUGAGAGGGUGGUCGGCCACAUUGGGACUGGGACACGGCCCAAACUCCUACGGGAGGCAGCAGUAGGGAAUCUUCGGCAAUUGACGAAAGUCUGACCGAGCAACGCCGCGUGAGUGAAGAAGGUUUUCGGAUCGUAAAACUCUGUUGGUAGAGAAGAACGUUGGUGAGAGUGGAAAGCUCAUCAAGUGACGGUAACUACCCAGAAAGGGACGGCUAACUACGUG